rnacentral:rRNA from 1 species
UACAGAGGGUGCGAGCGUUGUCCGGAAUCACUGGGCGUAAAGGGCGCGUAGGUGGCGACCCAAGUCGAUGGUGAAAGCUCGCCGCUCAACGGCGAGUCGGCCACCGAUACUGGGUUGCUGGAGCACUGUAGAGGCAGAUGGAAUUCCGGGUGUAGCGGUGGAAUGCGUAGAGAUCCGGAAGAACACCGGUGGCGAAGGCGGUCUGCUGGGGCAGUUGCUGACACUGAGGCGCGACAGCGUGGGGGAGCAAACAGGG